AAACCAACAGGGAUUGCCCUAGUAACGGCGAGUGAAGCGGCAACAGCUCAAAUUUGAAAGCUGGCCUUCGGGUCCGCAUUGUAAUUUGUAGAGGAUGCUUUGGGUGAAACGCCAGUCUAAGUUCCUUGGAACAGGACGUCAUAGAGGGUGAGAAUCCCGUAUGUGACUGGAAAUGUUAACCUAUGUAAAGCUCCUUCGACGAGUCGAGUUGUUUGGGAAUGCAGCUCUAAAUGGGAGGUAAAUUUCUUCUAAAGCUAAAUAUUGGCGAGAGACCGAUAGCGCACAAGUAGAGUGAUCGAAAGAUGAAAAGCACUUUGGAAAGAGAGUUAAAAAGCACGUGAAAUUGUUGAAAGGGAAGCGCUUGCAAUCAGACUUGUUUAAACUGUUCGGCCGGUCUUCUGACCGGUUUACUCAGUUUGGACAGGCCAGCAUCAGUUUCGGCGGCCGGAUAAAGGCUCUGGGAAUGUGGCCUUCACUUCGGUGAAGGUGUUAUAGCCCAGGGUGUAAUACGGCCAGCCGGGACUGAGGUCCGCGCUUCGGCUAGGAUGCUGGCGUAAUGGUUGUAAGCGACCCGUCUU
rnacentral:rRNA from 1 species